UACGUAGGGGGCAAGCGUUAUCCGGAUUUACUGGGCGUAAAGGGAGCGCAGGCGGUGCGCCAAGUCUGAUGUGAAACCCCGGGGCUCAACCCCGGGCAUGCAUUGGAAACUGGCGGGCUGGAGUGCCGGAGAGGUAAGCGGAAUUCCUAGUGUAGCGGUGAAAUGCGUAGAUAUUAGGAGGAACACCAGUGGCGAAGGCGGCUUACUGGACGGCAACUGACGCUGAGGCUCGAAAGCGUGGGGAGCAAACAGG
rnacentral:rRNA from 1 species